GCAUCCUGCCCGCUGCGUGCGGGAGCCAGGCGAAACCCAUGGCCAGAGGACUGGAAAGAGCAGGUUGCAAGAUGUGGUUGAGAAAUCGGAACUCCCGAGUUGUGGCAGGAGCCACGUCCUUGGAUUUCGGAGUCUGACGGAGGAAAACGACCCGGUGGCGUGCUUUACGUGGUGGGAUGAGUAGGGGACUUGGCAACAGUUCUUGCUACAGCAGGUCUCAAAACCGCUUGGUGUCCAGAAAGAACAGAAGACCUCUCGGUGGAGGCCCGUGCCUGGGCGUACGCAGAAGGCUCUUCAGAUGUCCCCCCUUGUAUCCAGUAUGUGCGUUCUUCGGAGGCUGAAACUCAUGUCCACGACGACAGGGAAGCUGUGGAUAGCACCAUGGUGCAGGAUCGCGGGGUGGAGACGGAUCCCAGGCAGGGCGCAGGCAAAGCAGCGACAAACCGCUCGGGCAGUGCUCCUUAGGGAGGCCGUUCGUGGGUGAGCUGCUGAAACGCGCUCCUGUCACCGGCUCAGAGCUGGUCUGUGAGCACGGGAGUUCAUACAGAGCCUCUGCUGACGCCGCCUCAGCCUCUCUGCCGCUUCUUCUGCAACCCUGAAUCAUCCUUCAGAGACCUCCGGUCCGGAAAGCCUUUCCUGAUCGGUGUGUUUUCCUUUUGCUCUGAGGCUCUCCUGAUGUUUGAGUGUGUGGAGUUGACCUCGAGUGGCAGGAUUCCAAGGCAGGUAAAGAGCUUCUUGGGCAAGAACGUAAGCAUCUCUUUUUUUUUCUUUUUCUUUUUUUCCCCCAAAUCUGUGAUAAAAUGACUUGCUGUCCCCCAGACGCCAGUGAUCCUCCCACUCCUGAAACAUCCUAGAGAUGCUGCCCAGGUUGUGCUGGAGGCGGUGGGGGAUGCGGGGGGAAGGGGAGGAUGAAGGAGCUCAGCAGGCAGCCAGGAGGAGCUGAGCGAAGGGCAAAAUGGAAGAGGGGUGAAUGGCACCCGCUGCCAUCAACUCCACCUUCUCCCACCUACCGCCGGCUGCUGCCAGGCAGCCUCCCCCCAGCGGCACCGUCGGCCAAAGGGGCAGCCACGGUGGAAGCGUUUUAAAAGCAAACUGAGUAUCACGUGGUGAACGUAAAUAAACAGUACGCUGAAAAAUCAUGCCUUGUUACCUGCUGCUUCCAGGGACCGAUCAUUUUGGCCAACGAGAGAGAAAGAGCUUCUUAAUGUGUCCAAACGUUCCAGGGCCCCUGUGGACGCCUGUAAGACAAAGAAAUGCUCGUUAUCAGAAGUCAGAGCUACCCACAGCCAUUUCCUCAUUGGUUCCCUUCAUCUGUGCCUCUUACGUAAUCCUCACCCAACAACUAACUCUGACCUCAGAUGAAGGGCACCCUGAGUGAAGGACAGCUCUGAUUUGAUCCUCAAACGUGACAAUUCGUAUUUGGGAUGCUAGAGCCAGCUUGUGGUGGCUGCAGCUUGUGUUGCGCGGCAGCGAUUACUUUCAGAAUAUUUUGCUCGUGUUAAGAAUGUGUCUGUCACGCUGUGACUGAGAACCACGACCUCCAUCUGUGCUGUGUUAGCAAAGAGAGGUUCACAAAAAUCACGAUUGAAAACCUCCCUCCCCUUUCUGGUCUUCUGACAGGCUGUGUCACCCCUCGUCACUCCCUUCUACUCCUCUUGCUUCCUCUCGUCACGUUACCUACCCUGCUUCCCAGCCCUCCGCAGUGCUUAUUUAAAUGUGUUGCCUCUCAGGAAGCCAUUUCCCUAUGCAAAGUUGGCUGGUGAUUGAAUUCUUGGGUACUUCCUCUUGACUUCAGGAUACAGCAUCAUGAAAGAAGAAGAAAACUGAUUAUCUGCCUGGAUUUUUAAUGGACACAGGGCAGAAAGAUGAACAGUGUGGAUUAAAUACAUAAAUGCAUCCAAACACAUGCCCUCCGCACAUUGAGAUUUUGGUAGUUUCACUGUAAGUGAAAGGACAGAUACUCUCUGUGUCUGAAUUUAUGUAAAUCUAAGAAAAGUUAAUGCAAAUACACAACCUUCCGCUCUUUUGUUGUUCAGCAAACAGUUUGGAAGAGUUUCGGAACCACUUAUGAGUUAGUUCAGAAAAUAAAAUUCUUGAAAUAA